rnacentral:rRNA from 1 species
UCCUACGGGAGGCAGCAGUGGGGAAUAUUGGACAAUGGGCGAAAGCCUGAUCCAGCAAUGCCGCGUGAGUGAUGAAGGCCUUAGGGUUGUAAAGCUCUUUUACCCGGGAUGAUAAUGACAGUACCGGGAGAAUAAGCUCCGGCUAACUCCGUGCCAGCAGCCGCGGUAAUACGGAGGGAGCUAGCGUUAUUCGGAAUUACU